CAAGGGUCCCUGGGGGCAUCCACCGAGGCUGCUUCACCCCUCCCCCCACGACCUCCUGCAAGACACAACCCGGAACCAGCUCCCCACUCCUCCCCUCUCGCAAAGCCCCCAGGGCUCCACCACUGGGUGCGGGUGCCUGUCGCACGAUCCCUGUCCCCAGAACCUCUAAAUGGAGGCCAAGGCUGGAGGAUGACAGAAAGAGGCUCCUCGGGAUCACCUUCUGUGACCCUCACAACCGGCUCCCAGAGGGGUAAGUUGGGUUGACAACAGAAGGAUGGGCAUUCCCACAUACCUGUGGAAAAGGUGAUUGUUGACCUUGAUCUUAGAGCUGGCCUUAAAGUCAUCUGGCAGCAGCAUCACAGGGGGAGGCACCUGGCUGAGCUCAUUGAUCUG